ensembl:lincRNA
GCGGCGGCGCGGCUGAAAGCGACUCCGGCCCCCCACGCGUCCCCGCUGUAUGCAGCCGCCGCCCGACGAGGAGGAGGAGGUCGGGGGCGCGGCCGAGCGCGCCCCGGGCUCGGGGGGCGCCGCGGCCCGGGGCGGUGAGGAGGAGACCGCGGGGCUGGAGAGCCGCGCCGCUGGGGCGCGCGCCCGGGAGCGGGAGCUGCGGGCCGGGCCGGAGCGUCUAGCCGCGGGAAGGGGCUUCUCGGGGUCUCGGGAGAGCGCCCGCCGCUCGCUCCGCCGCCGGAGGGUUUCCGAGCGCCGGGCAGCGCGGGGCCCCGCCGGACGGGGCUGCUGGGUUGUGGAGAGCGGCGAGGCUGACGGGGAAAGGGUGGAAAGAUCUGGAGAAAAGCCGAGUUUGCUGCAGUUACAAGCAACAGACCCUUUGGGCGAGGCAGAGGGUCGCAGUGUGAAAGCCCCGAGAGUGCAGGAGCGGUUAGCGCCCCUGAGAGUGCAAGAGCUGGGUAGCCUGAACAUGCGAAUGAAUAUCGCUUGGCUGAACAGUAAAGGCGAAAAUGAUAAUGUGCUACAAAUAAGCUACCACACCAUGGAAAAAGAUUUCCAUGUACGCAACAUUUUCCAAAGUAUUAUUACAGAAAGUUUUCAUUUCCGUAAAAAUAUUUUAAGAAACCAAAGGCAUAAUAGAAUUUUAAGCUGGUGUCAAAUUUUGCAGUGCAAAAAUCAAAUUGGUGUUAAUCUAAUCAGGAGUAUCAAUGUCAAUAUAAAGAAUGACAUUUUAAGCAAAUAUGUACAAACCAGUGUUUCAGAACACUUAAAUAUUUUUGCAACAUACAUAGCUUAUAUGUUCAACAACUUUAAUUCUUUAGCCAGAAUUGAAGAUGAUUCUGAAUUAGAGGAGGGAUACACUCUGAAAUGGAUUGUGCAUUUGAACUAUUCAAAACGUAUUACAGUGGAAGGUUAUACUGUAUAUAUAAUUAGGACUGUAAGUUUUUCAAAAUGUUUAGAAGAUAUGAAACCUGUGUUAAACAAAAGAAAGCCUAUAUUUGAAACCCAACAAAUUUUUGAAUGGUCUAAGAAAGAAAACUUUGAUUCUUUUAGUGCAACACCUAAGAAUGUGUAUUUUCCAAUUUUCAAAGUAUGUGGGAAAAUUCCUUUUUUAAUGGGCUUUGGUGACAUGGCAGGACUUUCUUUGAUAAAGAAGUCUAGUUAUAAGAAUAUGAGUUGGUUUGAACAACACAUGAAUGUAGAUGUCUGGGUUUACUGCAACUUUAUUACUGUUAAGACACAUGUGAAAUCUGGUCCUCAGUUUAUACAGGAGUACCAUGGACUUAUUAGUGGAAAAUGUCGUGAAAUAAACAUGCACAACCAGGAUUUAGGGGAUAAGAGAAAACAGGCUCCUAAGAAGGUCAGUACCUUUAAUUCUAAGCAUACACUUGAAGGUUCUUUUAGUGUUAGACAACAGUCUACACUGGGAAACCAAAAUACAGUACAUAGUCUAGCAGUCAAUAGCAUGAUUGUAAAUCAGAUGCUGAAUUUUGAGAGCUUGCAAAAUGAAAUGGAAAGACCCAAACAUGACUUUAUUUUGAAGGAAGUAAAAGUCACAGCACAGAGUUCAAUAAAUAGUUGCCAAGUUUGUAUUAAGAUAGAAAAGGAAGAAAAUAGGUUUUCCCCAAAGACUGGCAUGCUUUCUGUUCAGUUACUUUCGCGGAGUAAGAAAGUAAAUAUGAAGGAAACUAAAUCUGUUAAUCAAAAUAACACAGCGAACAAAAGUGAAUACGAGAGUAUUUUGCAAGAAAAUGAGUUAGCUAAUUCAAAGCAUUUUCAUCCAAAGAGUGAUGCUACAUUAUAUGUUAAUCAGCAAGUUGAAACUGAUUCAAAUGAAGGGAACAAUGAACAUUUUGAGAAUUUAACUGCAAAAUGUUUAUCAACAGAAGCUUUGAAAAUAGCAAAAGACUUUGAGAUGAAGAGUAAAUUUGAUUUGGUGCUUAAAGAGCUUCGUAUGUUUCAUGAAAUUAGUAAGGAAAAUGAAACUUCAACCAUCGUGGAAACAAACAAUGGGCAACAAAAUUACUUUGAAGAAAGUAAUGAUAAGGAGGCAAAAAUGGAGAUACAAAAACAUUUGAAAUUGGUUACAGCUGACAGAGAAUGUGUGCCUCCUUUGCCCAGUGAUACAAUGGUAGGCCCUCAUUUUGAUAGAAGACACCAAAGUUUAUUUAAGUGGAAAACUGUACCCUGUAAUGGGGAACAGGAAGUUCCCAGUGUGUACUGCUGUCCUAGAACAGUGGAGGAAGAAAUACUCUGCUCUAUUUAUGAGCAAGAUGGUAAAAAUUCUUUUCAUAAAGAUCCUGCUCUAUUCCCUGGUGAAUAUGUGGAAGGAAAAUUUAAUUAUUUAUCAAAUAGAGGUAUUUCUCAGGGCAUUUCAAGAAUCCAGCCUCUUAAGACAUGUAACCGACCAAUCAGGAUUGGUUUGUCAAGAAAAGCAAGAUUUAAGAAACUCCAUCCCUACCUGAAAUAAAUGUGUUAUAAGAGCUUAAAAGAUUUCGGACUUUUGAAACAUUUCAUAAUGUCCAGAAAUAUCUUAUGGCUUUCUUUGGAUAAGUGAUUUUUCCCACUGUGGGGAGCUUCUUUGUUGCUCAAUGUACAGAGGUUAUUGUGUGUGUGAAGUAUUACCUUUAAAAGUUAGGAAAUACUUUAUUAAUAUUUUCAUAUCAUCAAUAUGCAUAUUAAAGUCUUUUUAUGAUUUUGUAAAACGUGUCUUUUUGUGGAGAUGAACGAUAACUUUUAUACAUUUUUCAUAGAAUUCAUGGAGCCACUGUUGGAAGCCACUGUCUCCAUGUUUCAGAUGAAAAGGUGGAAGUGUAGUUUUCCAAGUGAGCUGCCCAGGUCACAGGGUUGUCCUAGGAUUGGGGUGGAGGUGCUUUCAAUAAUCUGAAGAAUCUUGUCUCCCCUUUCUUGCAUUCCCAGUUUUCCUUUGUCCCUCCUGCUACUGGAAAUUGAAUCCAGAAUCUUCACUGAGAGCUAUAUCCCAGGCCGUUUAGUUCUUUGUUUCUUUCUUUUUAUUUAUUUAGUUCUUUUUUAAAUUUUAAAACAGGGUCUCACUAAGUUGGCCAGGCUGGGUUCAAACUUGUGAUCCCUCUGCCUCAGCCUAUAGAAUAUUGGGAUUACAGGCUUAUAGCAUGAUGCCUGGCUCACGAUCUGAAUUUUAUUUCUUCCCCCAGAGUCUGUCUUUGGCCCCAGAGUAGAAUUAUGAUUAUAUCUAAGAACUUCUAUGAACUUAUUCAUAAAACAAGUACAUUGUCAUACUGGUAUUGCUGUGAUAGGCUCAGUGAUAGAGAAGACCUUGCCUAACGGAACUUGCUUUCUGUACUUAGGCUUGGUAGAGAAAUACAGGAUAUACACAAUUUAAAGGUAACCCUCAUCAGAAUAAGUAUACUUCAAAAAGCAUCAGACAGAUAAAUAAUAGAAUCAGCCACUUAUCAAAAAAGAAGAAGUAUCAAGAGAGCAUAAAAAAUGGCUUUCAUUGCAGAGGUAAGUCUAAAUGUAUUAAUUGUUAGGGUUAUUUCCUAUUAUAAGCAAAGGUUUUCAGACUUACUAAAAGUCACUUCAAAUCUGGCUCUAUUAAUUUCCACUUCAUACCAUAUUUUUUAUUUUCUUACCCUGCUGUAAUCCAUUCUUACAGUAGUACUUCUCAUGCUAUAAAUUAUGUCUUGCUAGAACACAGGCUGCUUAAAGGCAGGAUUAGUUUCUCCUGUUAAUAUACCCAAGUGCUUAGAAUAGUACCUGACUCCUAGUAAAUAUUCAUAAGAUACUAUAUGACUAUAAAUGGAUACAUUUCAACUCCUGUCUCAAAAUAGCAAUAUAUUAUUAUUUUUCUUUUUCCUUUUAUUUUUUAAAAUUGCCAGAUAAAAUUGUAUCUUGAC